GAUGAACGCUGGCGGCGUGCCUAAUACAUGCAAGUCGAGCGAACGGACGAGAAGCUUGCUUUUCUGAUGUUAGCGGCGGACGGGUGAGUAACACGUGGAUAACCUACCUAUAAGACUGGGAUAACUUCGGGAAACCGGAGCUAAUACCGGAUAAUAUUUUGAACCGCAUGGUUCAAAAGUGAAAGACGGUCUUGCUGUCACUUAUAGAUGGAUCCGCGCUGCAUUAGCUAGUUGGUAAGGUAACGGCUUACCAAGGCAACGAUGCAUAGCCGACCUGAGAGGGUGAUCGGCAACACUGGAACUGAGACACGGUCCAGACUCCUACGGGAGGCAGCAGGAGGGAAUCUGCCGCAAUGGGCGAAAGCCUGACGGAGCAACGCCGCGUGAGUGAUGAAGGUCUUCGGAUCGUAAAACUCUGUUAUUAGGGAAGAACAUAUGUGUAAGUAACUGUGCACAUCUGGACGGUACCUAAUCAGAAAGCCACGGCUAACUACGU
rnacentral:rRNA from 1 species